rnacentral:rRNA from 1 species
UGGGGAAUUUUGGACAAUGGGGGCAACCCUGAUCCAGCCAUUCCGCGUGAGUGAAGAAGGCCUUCGGGUUGUAAAGCUCUUUCAGCAGGAACGAAACGGUGGUCCCUAAUACGGGCUACUAAUGACGGUACCUGAAGAAGAAGCACCGGCUAACUACGUGCCAGCAGCCGCGGUAAUACGUAGGGUGCGAGCGUUAAUCGGAAUUACUGGGCGUAAAGCGUGCGCAGGCGGUUAUAUAAGACAGAUGUGAAAUCCCCGGGCUUAACCUGGGAACUGCGUUUGUGACUGUAUAACUUGAGUGUGGCAGAGGGGGGUGGAAUUCCACGUGUAGCAGUGAAAUGCGUAGAGAUGUGGAGGAACACCGAUGGCGAAGGCAGCCCCCUGGGUCAACACUGACGCUCAUGCACGAAAGCGUGGGGAGCAAACA